AGAACUUGAUCUUAGUGGGAACAACUUUGGCUACCUUCCUGCUGGAAGUUUGGUUUUUCCUCCUUCAUUAUUCUCAAGUUUAUCAUCAUUGAAAGAACUGAAUUUGCAAGACUGUAAUCUCAGUGAUGGUUCAAUCCCUGAUGAUCUUAGUUCAUUAUCAUCCUUGUUUCGCUUAAAUCUAUCCAGAAAUAAUUUUACUAAGCUACCUCAUGGCCUUGUCUCUAAUCUGUUGCGUCUUCACUCUCUAGAUUUGAAUCACUGCAAGAGACACUUGUCAUUUCCAGAUGUUCCGCCGAAUGUGUCAUUUAUAAAUGCAAUUUGUUGUCAUCCCUCAAUGGAACACUUUUCAGAGGUAUUGUGGAAGUUCCUUUCAUCAUCUUAUUUGAGAUAUAUCCCAAGAGAAUUGCUUGUUCCAGGGAAUGAAAUUCCAUCAUGGUUCCAUAAUCAAAACUUUGAUUUUCUUCAUGAAUUUAAGUAUUAUGGCUGGGGAAUUACACAAAUUUGUAUGCUAGAGGACGAGGGUGGUAAAACGAAUAAUCUUGUUGAUUGCAUUAUAUCAAUAAAAAUAGAUAACUCUCGUUUUCGUUGUUCGAACAAAAAGUGGGGAGUUUCCUUGUGUCUUGUAGUACAAGACACAAUGCCAUCAAACUGUAGAAACCCAUACAACUCUGUUUAUAUUUCAAUUUUUGCAACUCCUGAAUCAAAUGAUUCAUGGUUUGAAACAAGGUGGAAGCUGGAUCUAGAGGGCAAUUAACCUCAUCUUUUCAUCUUUUUCCUUACUCCUAGUGGUUUGCAAUAUGGUCGUGGGGAACUAUAUACAGACCAACUUAGGUUGACAUUGAUGACACGUAGAAGGACCACUUCGAGUGUUAAUGGGCAUGAAGCGAAAAAAGACGAUAGUAAAAGUGGAAGACCAGGUUCAUUUUCAAUAAAGAAGUGUGGGUGGCGUUUGGCAAGCCAGGAAGAAUUAGGAGAAUAUGUUGAAGAGUGGCAGAGAAAAAUGAGUGAAUGCAGUUCCACAAGUCAUCUAGAACUUGAAGACGACAAUGCUGUUUGAUCAACCUUUGUAUGUGAAAAGUAGAGUUGGUUGUUGCUGUUUUCAAAAUCAAUCAGUUUAAGUGGGAAGCACAGAGUACUCAUAUAAUCCAAAGCUGAUUAAGAAGCUCACCGACAUCAAAAGGAUAGUUUGCCACAGCCUUUGAUGAUGAAACAGAACAACAGACUCAAGUAGUUCUUCCAAAAGGGCAUGGACUCUGAAAAUAAUAUUCAAAGUUGAUUGGGAGCUCGCUGACACCACAUGGAAAUUUUGCCACAGCCUUUGAUGCUGAAACAUCACAACACAUUCCCUUAUUUACUCAAAAUUGGUAACUCAACAUCUUCCUUUUAUGAACGUGUGCUAAACCUUAAAAUUUCGUUGGUCUUCAAAAUGUUAAUAUCAAUGCCAUUAUAGCGUUAAAAUAUCUUCAGAACUGAUGAACCAAUAAGAUCAAGCAAUAUUUUGACAACUCUCAGGGCCUUAAGAUGGACACAAAUAGUGAAACUAGCCUGUGAUAUA